GACGAACGCUGGCGGCGUGCUUAACACAUGCAAGUCGAACGGUGAAGGGACUGGUUUUGCUGGUCCUGGAUGAGUGGCGAACGGGUGAGUAACACGUGAGUAACCUGCCCCCUUCUUCUGGAUAACCGCAUGAAAGUGUGGCUAAUACGGGAUAUUCUGGGUCUGUCGCAUGGUGGGCCUGGGAAAGAUUGCGCCUUUUUUGGUGUUUUUGGUUGGGGAUGGGCUCGCAGCCUAUCAGCUUGUUGGUGGGGUGAUGGCCUACCAAGGCGGUGACGGGUAGCCGGCCUGAGAGGGUGGACGGUCACACUGGGACUGAGACACGGCCCAGACUCCUACGGGAGGCAGCAGUGGGGAAUAUUGCACAAUGGGCGCAAGCCUGAUGCAGCGACGCCGCGUGAGGGAUGGAGGCCUUCGGGUUGUGAACCUCUUUCGCCAGUGAAGCAGGCCUGCCUCUUUGUGUGGGUGGGUUGACGGUAGCUGGAUAAGAAGCGCCGGCUAACUACGUG
rnacentral:rRNA from 1 species